GUCCCUUUGGCCAGCUGGCUUGAGGUGCUCUGGCUGUAUCUCUCUGUAAUCAUGAAAUCACAGAGAGGUGUUGUUUGGAAGGGACCUAAGAGAUCACCUAGUUCCAACCCCUCUGCCAUGGACUGGGACCACUUGCAGAAUCUUGUCUUCCCCUAGCAAACUUGCUGACAGAGGCAGAGAGAAAGAUACUGUCUUUUCACUGUGCAAGCACAAUUCAAGAAUAGCUCUAGAUGACUACUCAUAAUUCAUACCCUACCAACCUUUGACUCUGAAACAACAAAACCCUACACCCUCUGAAACCUGUGGGUAAGCAUGGAAAGAACUGUGGAGAAUUAAAUCAGGCUUGUUGCUGGGAAGAUAGGAUUGACAUCUGCACUCUCCUUCAGUCAGUAUACAAUAAAAAUCCAAAUGAUUUAUC